CGGUUAACAAAGAGAAGCAAUACCGCGAGGUGGAGCAAAACUUCAAAAACGAAUCCCAGUUCGGACUGCAGGCUGAAACUCGCCUGCACGAAGUUGGAAUUGCUAGUAAUCGCGGAUCAGCAUGCCGCGGUGAAUACGUUCCCGGGUCUUGUACACACCGCCCGUCACACCAUGGGAGCUGGUAACACCCGAAGUCAGUAGUCUAACCGCAAGGAGGACGCUGCCGAAGGUGGGAUUAGCGACUGGGGUGAAGUCGUAACAAGGUACC
rnacentral:rRNA from 1 species